UACGAAGGGGGCUAGCGUUGUUCGGAAUUACUGGGCGUAAAGCGUGCGCAGGCGGUUUUGUAAGUCAGAUGUGAAAUCCCCGGGCUCAACCUGGGAACUGCGUUUGAAACUACAAGGCUAGAGUGUAGCAGAGGGGGGUGGAAUUCCACGUGUAGCAGUGAAAUGCGUAGAUAUGUGGAGGAAUACCGAUGGCGAAGGCAGCCCCCUGGGAUAACACUGACGCUCAUGCACGAAAGCGUGGGGAGCAAACAGG
rnacentral:rRNA from 1 species